CCCGAGUCUAGCUCCCUGCUCAACGGGGAGCCUGCUUCUCCCUCUCCUGCUAUGGCUCCCCCUGCUUGUGUGCUCUCUCUCUCUGUCAAAUAAAUAAAUAAAAUCUUAAAACAAAAACAAAAACAAAAACCCUCUGAAGAGAGUAGGAGAGCAGAGAGUCCUGACUUCACCAAGAUGGGUGUUUGCUUCUUUUCUACAGCUCCCGCUCUCCCUCAACUUCCUCACUGGCUGUGUGACGGCUCCUCGUGCAGAUGCCAGGCUGUAGCCAACUGGGCAGCGGGAGCUUGGAGCCCGGCCUUGGAUUUCCGGGCUUCCGAUCAUUUCUUGUAAGUGAGGCCCCCUGCCAGUGGCUGCCAGGCUGGACACCCAUGGCAGGAUCAUCCACCAGAGUGAAACAAAGCCCUUUCUGCCUUCUCUGCUGGCCAAGGAGCCUUGAGGCUGAAAUGAGGUCUCCCCACAUUGGUGCCGGACUGAACCACUGCCUUUGGGCCUUUUUUGGCUCUCCUGCGGCACCAAAGUGGCUCUGAAGAAUCACAAGCUUGUAGGCCGGCCAGCUCCAUGAGCGCUUCUCUCCAAGAAGCCGCAGUCUGAGCCAGAGGGCUCCCUCAAGCAAGGCUGCUGUUAAAGUAAAAGCCUCUGCUUGCCCAAUGAUACACAUAGAUACCCCCGCCUGCCGAGGACGAUAGAGCUUCCGAAGACUCCGGUGGAACAACUUGGCAGGUAGCGUCUCAGCCAGAAGAAGGCAGCACAGUCACAUCACAUUCCUGCCAAAGCCCAGGGCCCAGUCUAACCAUGAGAAGAUCACACAAGCCAGGUGGAGGGGCUUUCGGGGAAGACUGAGGAACGGUCACAAGGGACACUGGGUUGCUGGGACAGGAGGGGCGUGAGCGGAAGAAGUGAAUGACAUCUGGAGCUUAGGGUAACAGUGUUGUGCUGAUGUUGAGUCUCGGUUUCGAGAAACGCUCCAGGGUUAUACAUAUAUGAUUUUCACAUUAAGGUAAGCUGUGCAAAGGCUAUUUGGAAACUCUCUGUAAAUCUGAAAUUAUUCCAAAACAAAAAGUAAAAAAAGAAAAAGCCUUUGUCAGUUUGCUUCAGCCUGGACCGGCUUCCACCACACCAGUCCGUGUAGUCUGGUUUUCCCUGUCUCUGUCCACCGCCUCACCCCUGCCCCUCCUGUCCUGCCCUGCUCUCAGGUGCCUCUCCAGAUUCCCACACAAGAGCUGUGGGCCCAGGCGCUGGGUGUCUAGGAGGGGCUUCGGACAAGGUAGGGAGCAGUAUGCAUGAACUUCCUCACAAGAGGGGACCUUGGGAAUCUCAGCCCAGGUCAGCACCCAGGUCACCCCAGCUAUAGACAAUCAGCCUCUGGAAACUUCCACCUGAAGUUCUGUGCCUUCAUCAAUCAGCCUCAUCAGUAAAUUGUCUGCAUCGAGGCUCAGACAGUGGCUCUAUUCCAUCUGCAGAAGACACAGCUGGAGAUGAGGCCCUCCCACAGUCUAAGAGCAGAUGCAGACAGAGCACUAGGCAUGU
rnacentral:lncRNA from 1 species